rnacentral:rRNA from 1 species
GAUGAACGCUGGCGGCGUGCCUAAUACAUGCAAGUCGAGCGAACGGACGAUAAGCUUUCUUCUCUGCUGUUAGCGGCUGACGGGUGAGUAACACGUGGAUAACCUACCUCUAUGUCUUGGAUAACUUCGUGAAACCGCAUCUAAUACCAGAUGAUAUUUUGAACCGCAUGGUUCAAAAGUUAUAGACGGUCUUGCUGUCACUUAUAGAUGGAUCCGCGCUGCAUUAGCUAGUUGGUAAGGUAACGGCUUACCAAGGCAACGAUGCAUAGCCGACCUGAGAGGGUGAUCGGCCACACUGGAACUGAGACACGGUCCAGACUCCUACGGGAGGCAGCAGUAGGGAAUAUUGCGCAAUGGGCGAAAGCCUGACGGAGCAACGCCGCGUGAGUGAUGAAGGUCUUCGGAUUGUAAAACUCUGUUAUUGGGGAAGAACAGAAGUGUAAGUAAAUGUGGACAUCUUGACGGUACCUAAUCAGAAAGCCACGGCUAACUACGUG